rnacentral:lncRNA from 1 species
AGCAGCCAGAAGUCGCCAUCUUAUCCAGCACGUUAUGGGUACACUCUGGCAGCUCCUACUCCUGCGUCCUACCACCACCCUGUCCUGACUACGUCCACUAGGAAGUUGGGAGCCUUUGGCGGCUUCUGCCACUGCAUCCUGCCGCCACCAUGUCCCAACUACAUCCACUAGGGAGUUGGCAGGCUUAGUGAUGAUGCCAGCAGGCUGACAGCCGACAGAAAGAUUCAGGUUGCCUCGAAAUUUUACCCAAGCCAUACCGCACACUUGGGCCA